UGCAAGUCGAGCGGAGUGAUGGUGCUUGCACUAUCACUUAGCGGCGGACGGGUGAGUAAUGCUUAGGAAUCUGCCUAUUAGUGGGGGACAACAUUUCGAAAGGAAUGCUAAUACCGCAUACGUCCUACGGGAGAAAGCAGGGGAUCUUCGGACCUUGCGCUAAUAGAUGAGCCUAAGUCGGAUUAGCUAGUUGGUGGGGUAAAGGCCUACCAAGGCGACGAUCUGUAGCGGGUCUGAGAGGAUGAUCCGCCACACUGGGACUGAGACACGGCCCAGACUCCUACGGGAGGCAGCAGUGGGGAAUAUUGGACAAUGGGCGCAAGCCUGAUCCAGCCAUGCCGCGUGUGUGAAGAAGGCCUUAUGGUUGUAAAGCACUUUAAGCGAGGAGGAGGCUACUGAAGUUAAUACCUUCAGAUAGUGGACGUUACUCGCAGAAUAAGCACCGGCUAACUCUGUGCCAGCAGCCGCGGUAAUACAGAGGGUGCAAGCGUUAAUCGGAUUUACUGGGCGUAAAGCGCGCGUAGGCGGCUAAUUAAGUCAAAUGUGAAAUCCCCGAGCUUAACUUGGGAAUUGCAUUCGAUACUGGUUAGCUAGAGUGUGGGAGAGGAUGGUAGAAUUCCAGGUGUAGCGGUGAAAUGCGUAGAGAUCUGGAGGAAUACCGAUGGCGAAGGCAGCCAUCUGGCCUAACACUGACGCUGAGGUGCGAAAGCAUGGGGAGCAAACAGGAUUAGAUACCCUGGUAGUCCAUGCCGUAAACGAUGUCUACUAGCCGUUGGGGCCUUUGAGGCUUUAGUGGCGCAGCUAACGCGAUAAGUAGACCGCCUGGGGAGUACGGUCGCAAGACUAAAACUCAAAUGAAUUGACGGGGGCCCGCACAAGCGGUGGAGCAUGUGGUUUAAUUCGAUGCAACGCGAAGAACCUUACCUGGCCUUGACAUAGUAAGAACUUUCC
rnacentral:rRNA from 1 species